GAAGAAAGAGAGAGAAAGAGAAAGACGAAGAGUAUGUAAAUGUAUCUAUACAAAGUACACCGAGUAACAUUUAAUGUUCUUCUCGAUCAACCAAACACGGCCUUCCAUAGAGCAAACGUUCCGAGGAGACUGAGUAAUUUUUCUUUUUCGUUCCUUGUCGUUUAAUCAGUAUAUGCUUGAGACGCGUAUAUAAUAAUAUAAUGUAUGAUAUUUUAACGGUAGGAAAAGAAAAAUUUAGCGGACGACUGAUCGAUCGAUCGAUCGAAAUAGUGACGAUCGGCAUAAAGAAAAGUCUUUUGUGACUCGAUGCUAUAUAUUUUUGACGAUCGUUUAGCGUGUAAUUAGAAUUACGUAGAUUAAGAUAAUACCAAAAGAAAGAGAAUGAUUCAGUAUUUAUUACUUAUUAUUAUUAUUAUUAAUAUGUAAUUAAUGUUAUAGACAAUGAAGAGUAUGAAUUAUUGUGUAUGAAUUAAAGGAAUGUCAAACCAGGAUUGGGUCUGGAUUUCAUUGAUACUUCGUUAAUGUUUCGUGAUCGAACAAAAGUAUUACACGAAAAGCUGAAUAUUUUGAGGAAUAGUUGUUUAAAUGAUAUAUUUCCAAAUUAUAUUCUGUAGAUAUUUUACAAUUACAGCUUUAUCCGUUGAAACGAAUCGAUUAUCUUAAAAUUCUGUUAAAUUAUAAGAAAAUCAUAAUCGCGAUAUUUUUCGUAAUAAAAAAAAAAAAAAAAACAAGAAAUCAAAUUAGAAUUAUUUACUUUGUAACGCGGCUGCUACCUUGUCAAGAAAAAGAAAAAAAGACAUGAUAUACUAUUACUAUAGUAUACUAUAAAUUAAUCUUCAAACGGGAAUAUUUAAUUUUCAGAAGGUAUUUUUUUAAAAUAAUAGUGACAAAUGUUGUUAAAUAUUGUUUUUAUGCUGGAUACGGAACCAUUUCAAAAAUGUUUCAAAGACUAAAAAAAAAAAAAAAAAGAAUUAAACAUAGACACUUGUUGCUAUACGAUAUUAAAGUGAUAAUUACUCUUCUUGUAUUUAAGCUAUUUUUCAUGAAUAUUUGAAAACAUAAAAAAUAAAAAAAAA